rnacentral:rRNA from 1 species
AUUGAACGCUGGCGGCAUGCCUUACACAUGCAAGUCGAACGGCAGCACGGGUGCUUGCACCUGGUGGCGAGUGGCGAACGGGUGAGUAAUACAUCGGAACGUACCUUAUCGUGGGGGAUAACGCAGCGAAAGCUGUGCUAAUACCGCAUACGCCCUGAGGGGGAAAGCGGGGGAUCGAAAGACCUCGCGCGAUUAGAGCGGCCGAUGCCUGAUUAGCUUGUUGGUGGGGUAAAAGCCCACCAAGGCGACGAUCAGUAGCUGGUCUGAGAGGACGAUCAGCCACACUGGGACUGAGACACGGCCCAGACUCCUACGGGAGGCAGCAGUGGGGAAUUUUGGACAAUGGGGGAAACCCUGAUCCAGCAAUGCCGCGUGAGUGAAGAAGGCCUCGGUUGUAAAGCUCUUUGUCUAGGAGAAACAACCGGACUCUAACACAGUCC